GACGGAGGGGGCUAGCGUUGUUCGGAAUUACUGGGCGUAAAGGGCGCGUAGGCGGUUUUUUAAGUGAGGCGUGAAAGCCCUGGGCUUAACCCAGGAGGUGCGUUUCAUACUGGAAAGCUUGAGUACGAGAGAGGAAAGUGGAAUUCCUAGUGUAGAGGUGAAAUUCGUAGAUAUUAGGAAGAACACCAGAGGCGAAGGCGGCUUUCUGGCUCGUAACUGACGCUGAGGAGCGAAAGCGUGGGGAGCAAACAGG
rnacentral:rRNA from 1 species